rnacentral:rRNA from 1 species
GACGAACGCUGGCGGCGUGCUUAACACAUGCAAGUCGAACGGAAAGGCCCUGCGUUUGUGGGGUGCUCGAGUGGCGAACGGGUGAGUAACACGUGAGUAACCUGCCCUUGACUUUGGGAUAACUUCAGGAAACUGGGGCUAAUACCGUAUAGGAUCUCCUGCUGCAUGGUGGGGGUGGGAAAGUUUCGGCGGGUGGGGAUGGACUGGCGGCUUAUCAGCUUGUUGGUGGGGUAGUGGCUGACCAAGGCUUUGACGGGUAGCCGGCCUGAGAGGGUGACCGGCCACAAUGGGACUGAGAUACGGAGCAGACUCCUACGGGAGGCAGCAGUGGGGAAUAUUGCACAAUGGGCGGAAGCCUGAUGCAGAAACGCCGCAUGCGGGAUGACGGCCUUCGGGUUGUAAAACGCUUUCGGCUGUGACGAAGCAUGAGUGACGGUAAUGGGUAAAGAAGCACCGGCUAACUACGUG